AACGCACAUUGCGCCCUUUGGCAUUCCGAAGGGCAUGCCCGUUCGAGCGUCAUUUCACCACUCAAGCCUGGCUUGGUAUUGGGCGACGGAGUUCCUCCGCGCCUCUAAUCGAUCGGCUGGACGGUUCGAAUCUCAGCGUUGUGGUUUCAUCAAAUCGCUGGCGAGGACGACCGCGCGCGCCGUUAAAACUUCACACAAGGUUGACCUCGGAUCGGGUAGGGAUACCCGCUGAACUUAA
rnacentral:misc_RNA from 1 species